UACGAAGGGGGCUAGCGUUGCUCGGAAUCACUGGGCGUAAAGCGCACGUAGGCGGCUUCUUAAGUCAGGGGUGAAAUCCUGGAGCUCAACUCCAGAACUGCCUUUGAUACUGAGGAGCUUGAGUCCGGGAGAGGUGAGUGGAACUGCGAGUGUAGAGGUGAAAUUCGUAGAUAUUCGCAAGAACACCAGUGGCGAAGGCGGCUCACUGGCCCGGUACUGACGCUGAGGCGCGAAAGCGUGGGGAGCAAACGGG
rnacentral:rRNA from 1 species